GACGAACGCUGGCGGCGUGCUUAACACAUGCAAGUCGAACGGAAAGGCCCUGCUUUUGUGGGGUGCUCGAGUGGCGAACGGGUGAGUAACACGUGAGUAACCUGCCCUUGACUUUGGGAUAACUUCAGGAAACUGGGGCUAAUACCUGAUAGGAGCUCCUGCUGCAUGGUGGGGGUUGGAAAGUUUGGGCGGUUGGGGAUGGACUCGCGGGUUAUCAGCUUGUUGGUGGGGUAGUGGCCUACCAAGGGUUUGAUGGGUAGCCGGCCUGGGAGGGUGACCGGCCACAUUGGGACUGAGAUACGGCCCAGACUCCUACGGGAGGCAGCAGUGGGGAAUAUUGCACAAUGGGCGGAAGCCUGAUGCAGCAACGCCGCGUGCGGGAUGACGGCCUUCGGGUUGUAAACCGCUUUCGCCUGUGACGAAGCGUGAGUGACGGUAAUGGGUAAAGAAGCACCGGCUAACUACGUG
rnacentral:rRNA from 1 species